CAAUAGCGUAUAUUAAAGUUGUUGCAGUUAAAAAGCUCGUAGUUGGAUUUGUGGCGUACGGUGUGUUCCGGGCACUUGUUGUCUGAGUAACCUGCUGUUGCCAUCCUUGGGUGGAACCUGUGUGGCAUUAGGUUGUCGUGCAGGGGAUGCCCAUCAUUUACUGUGAAAAAAUUAGAGUGUUCAAAGCAGGCUUAUGCCGUUGAAUAUAUUAGCAUGGAAUAAUGAGAUAGGACUUUUUUGCUAUUUUGUUGGUCUGCGCAAAGAGGUAAUGAUUAAUAGGGACAGUUGGGGGUAUUCGUAUUCCAUUGUCAGAGGUGAAAUUCUUGGAUUUUUGGAAGACGAACUACUGCGAAAGCAUUUACCAAGGAUGUUUUCAUUAA
rnacentral:rRNA from 1 species